ensembl:lncRNA
AAGGCUUUAUUGGCACCUGGGUUGCAACAGGAGGGAGCGAAAACAAGUAACAGACAUUUGUCCAUGUGCAAGCACUGCAGCAAAGGGUCUCAGGUCCCAGAUUUCCGGUCCCAGCCUGUCUCCUAAUCAGAAAUUGUUAAGAGGCCAGAUGAAGAAUUCAGACAUGGCUUUACUGGGACUCUUGCUGCACCUGGAAGAACCCUGCCAAUAUUGUACCUCAGUCUUCAAGGAACACAGAACCAAAGACUUCGAGAAGAUCUGUCUACUCACAAACAUAACAGCUAUGGAAAGUCACUAAUUAAAAACUAGGUGUAUUCUUUACUGCUGAACCAUCGGGAGUGCUGCUGCUGCUACUAAGUCACUUCAGUCAUGUCCAACUCUGUGCGACCCCAUAGACGGAAGCCCACCAGGCUCCCCCGUCCCUGGGAUUCUCCAGGCAAGAACACUGGAGUGGGUUGCCAUUUCCUUCUCCAGUGCAUGAAAGUGAAAAGUGAAAGUGAAGUCGCUCAGUCCUGUCUGACUUUUAGCGACCCCAUGGACUGCAGCCUACCAGGCUCCUCUGCCCAUGGGAUUUUCCAGGCAAGAGUACUGGAGUGGGGUGCCAUUGCCUUCUCCGGCCACCAGGAGUUACCUCUGGCCAAAUUCACUUAACAACUUCAUCUCUUUCCACUCCUCCUUGGCAUCCUAAUUUAUACCCUCAAUGAAAUAACAGGCCAUAAACCUUUGCAUCUGUGUUUUCCUAUAGAACUUUGUUUAUACUUUAACAUAAACGUUUCCUUUUUAUGUAUUCAUGUUCUUAGCCAGAUUAGGAACUUCAUGAUGACACAGACUAUGUCUUAAUUCAGGCAGUUAUAAAUGUGAACUAUACUUAUAUUGUUUUAAUUCCUGGGGGCCCUACAUAUAUUUAGUCUCUAAAAGUGGAACGUGUCAAGGCAAUAUAUAACAAAAGGAUUCCCUUGCCAAUGAGUUAGCUUUUAGUCUUUGAGAAAUAUGAUCAAAUUAAAAAGCCAUCAAGGACAUUAACUAAACUUGUGGUAAUCACCUCACAGUAUAUGCAUAUAUCAAAUCAUUGUGCUGCGCAUCUUAAACUUAUACAGUUUAAGUUUAAACUUAUAAGUCUUGGG